CAGCCGCCGCGGGAAUACGAAGGGGGCUAGCGUUGCUCGGAAUUACUGGGCGUAAAGGGAGCGUAGGCGGAUCGUUAAGUUGGGGGUGAAAGCCCGGGGCUCAACCUCGGAAUUGCCUUCAAUACUGGCGAUCUUGAGUAUGGAAGAGGUAUGUGGAACUCCGAGUGUAGAAGUGAAAUUCGUAGAGAUUGGGAAGAACACCGGUGGCGAAGGCGGCCAACUGGACUGGUAUUGACGCUGAGGCGCGAAAGCGUGGGGAGCAAACAGGAUUAGAGACCCCCGUAGUCCCUGUCUCUUAUAC
rnacentral:rRNA from 1 species